UAAACUUAUAGUGCCUGGAAUUGUCUCCCUUUAAAUUGUGGCAGCACCUGUUUCCUGUGUUUCUCUUUCUCAAGAUCAUUGUAGAAGGGCAUUUUAUAAACAGAAGAUGUUUGAAUCAGGUCCGCCAAUGAAAUAUCCAUAUAGCCUAUCGGCUAAAGUUGCACAGUUUCCAUUUAAAUGGAUGUGGGCCAAUUCGAGAUUCCUGCGAUACUUAAGCUAUUCAUUGAUCGUCACUUUUCCACUCUACGUUUCAAUUCACCGAGCUGCCAAUUCUCCUGGUAAUGUUGACAAAUGGAAUCAAAUCAGAGAGGCAAGAAAACACUCACACUUUGAUCCUAUUCAUUAGUAAUACAUAACUUGCGGGUCUGGAUACCUGGACAGUGGGUUUUUUGGAUGAAUGUAUAGUGACUUUUCAGGACAAUUUGAAGCCCUUAUACAUGUUUACAGUGUGUACUAUUAAAAUAUUAAUUAUAGAAUAAACUAGUGAUUAAUUACUGAA